AACCCUUUGUGAACAUACCUAACCGUUGCUUCGGCGGGCAGGGGAAGCCUCUCGCGGGCCUCCCCUCCCGGCGCCGGCCCCCACCACGGGGACGGGGCGCCCGCCGGAGGAAACCAAACUCUAUUUACACGACGUCUCUUCUGAGUGGCACAAGCAAAUAAUUAAAACUUUUAACAACGGAUCUCUUGGUUCUGGCAUCGAUGAAGAACGCAGCGAAAUGCGAUAAGUAAUGUGAAUUGCAGAAUUCAGUGAAUCAUCGAAUCUUUGAACGCACAUUGCGCUCGCCAGCAUUCUGGCGAGCAUGCCUGUUCGAGCGUCAUUUCAACCCUCAAGCACCGCUUGGUUUUGGGGCCCCACGGCACACGUGGGCCCUUAAAGGUAGUGGCGGACCCUCCCGGAGCCUCCUUUGCGUAGUAACUAACGUCUCGCACUGGGAUUCGGAGGGACUCUUGCCGUAAAACCCCCAAAUUUUUUACAGGUUGACCUCGGAUCAGGUAGGAAUACCCGCUGAA
rnacentral:rRNA from 1 species